CAUGAGUUGAGGAAUAAGGGAAUUCCCCUCUGUCUUCCAUCCCAUGGUUUCAGGGGGUGGCAGAACUGGCUGCUGCAAGCGGGCCUGCCGCCAGAUCAAAACCUGGAAGUGAGAGCGCUGAAUGUGGAAGUAGAGAGCGUCUCUGGUUGGGGGCAGUCUUUCUAUUGUCAUGGCCUUGACAAACAUGCUUGCUCGAACUUCAUUGAUGUUAUCAGCAUCCUUUACACCAUAGAGUUUGCAGAAAAACUGUUCUGCAUUCUGAAUGGUGUGGUCACUCAGUUAAGGACCUUUGCCAAGCCCCGAUAGUAGAUGUGAAUACUCUAUGAAAACUUCCCAGCAUGUCUUCUUUGAAUGUCCUACAAUGUAUGAAGUUGAGUUACUCCCAGUGAGAGCAUGGAAACCAGGAAGUAGCUCGAGGACCUGUGGCUCCAUCUGCAGUUGUUCCACUACAGCAUGAACUGGGACGUACUUUCUCUCCUUUGCUGUACUUGUCUUUAUCCAGAUCUUUUGGCAUGGCAUCAUGUGGAAGUGGGCAAUCAGCAGUACCAAGAUGUCGGUGUCUCUUGCAGAGACCAUUUUUGAUGCUUUGCUUCUGAUGCAGUGAAGGAUAAUUCUUGUGUCUGCUUCUUAAUGUUUAGCUUCCAAGCUGUCAGUGUUAAGGGUUGUAUUAGAUGCUUCAACCCUCUCUUCAUCGCUGAAGCCACCUGCAGCAACUAUAAUCUUGGUGUCUGGUGCUCUCACAAUCAGCUGUUGUGAUAGAAAGUGAGCAAGGUCUGCCUUGUUGUCUUUGUGAGCGAUAAAGUUCUCCCAUUUUGUGGGAAGAGGUAAAUCUCUGCCCUCAACUGGUC
ensembl:lncRNA